GGGGAAUAUUGGACAAUGGGCGAAAGCCUGAUCCAGCCAUGCCGCGUGAGUGAUGAAGGCCUUAGGGUUGUAAAGCUCUUUCGCCGAGGACGAUAAUGACGGUACUCGGAUAAGAAGCCCCGGCUAACUUCGUGCCAGCAGCCGCGGUAAUACGAAGGGGGCUAGCGUUGUUCGGAAUUACUGGGCGUAAAGCGUAUGUAGGCGGGUCGUUAAGUUAGGGGUGAAAUCCCAAGGCUCAACCUUGGAACUGCCCUUGAUACUGGCGAUCUUGAGUCCGGGAGAGGUGAGUGGAACUGCGAGUGUAGAGGUGAAAUUCGUAGAUAUUCGCAAGAACACCAGUGGCGAAGGCGGCUCACUGGCCCGGUACUGACGCUGAGAUACGAAAGCGUGGGGAGCAAAC
rnacentral:rRNA from 1 species